rnacentral:rRNA from 1 species
UACGUAGGGUGCAAGCGUUAAUCGGAAUUACUGGGCGUAAAGCGUACGCAGGCGGCUUUGCAAGACAGGUGUGAAAUCCCCGGGCCUAACCUGGGAACCGCAUUUGUGACUGCAUAGCUAGAGUUUGUCAGAGGGGGGUGGAAUUCCACGUGUAGCAGUGAAAUGCGUAGAUAUGUGGAGGAACACCGAUGGCGAAGGCAGCCCCCUGGGAUGUGACUGACGCUCAUGUACGAAAGCGUGGGGAGCAAACAGG